CACCUCAUCAAGCCAGUUUGUCUUUGUGGUGAUAUCUCUGAUGUUGAAAAAGACCUGACCUUUGCCUGAAGGCUUCUCCACAUUCACUACACUGAUAGGGUUUUUCUUCAUUGUGGAUUCUUACAUGCUGAGCAAGGUGUGAGUUUAGUCGGAAGGCUUUCUGGCAUAUGUUACACUUGAAAGGUUUUUCUCCAGUAUGAAUUCUGUGGUGUCGAAUAAGGUCUGAGGUCAAACUGAAAGCUUUUCCACACUCGUUACAUUGAUGGCUUUUGGAGUGACUAUGGAUUCUCUGAUGGUGGGUGAGGAGUAAGGCCUGACUAAAGGUUUUUCCACACUCCUUGCACUCACAGGGCUCCUCCUGACUGUGAAUUCUCUGAUGUCGAUUAAGGUGAGAGCUGCGCCUAAAAUUUUUUCCACAAUGGAUACAUAGAUAAGGUUUCUCUCCAGUAUGAAUUCUGAGAUGUUCCAAAAGGCCUGCAUUCUGGCUAAAGACUUUGCCACACUCAUUGCACUGAUAAGGCUUCUCACCAAGAUGGAUUUUCUGAUGUCUGACGAGGUGUGAACUCCUCUGAAAGGCUUUCCCACACUCAUGACACUGAUGACCUUUCUCUCUAGAGCUCUUCCACAAGAGUCUGUUACUACAAUAAGCUUCCCAUUCUCAAUCCUUGUCUCCUCACCUGCAAUAUUAAAUAUAU
rnacentral:lncRNA from 1 species